rnacentral:rRNA from 1 species
AUUGAACGCUGGCGGCAGGCCUAACACAUGCAAGUCGAGCGAGCGUCGCACGGGUGAGUAAUGUAUGGGGAAUGCCCCAUAUCGGGGGAUAACUCCAGGAGAAGGUAUCUCAUACCGCGUACUAUCGGCUUACCCAUAUGGGAUUAGCUAGUGGGUGGGGUAAGGGCUCACCUAGACGACGAUCCCUAGCUGGUCUGAGAGGAUGAUCAGCAACACUGGGACUGAGACACGGCCCAGACUCCUACGGAGGAAGCAGUGGGGAAUAUUGCACAAUGGGCGCAAGCCUGAUGCAGCCAUGCCGCGGGUAUGAAGAAGGCCCUAGGGUUGUAAAGUACUUUCAGGCGGGAGGCGUUACCGGCAGAAGAAGCACCGGCUAACUCCGUGCCAGCAGCCGCGGUAAUUC